rnacentral:rRNA from 1 species
UACGGAGGAUGCAAGCGUUAUCCGGAAUGAUUGGGCGUAAAGCGUCCGCAGGUGGCACUGUAAGUCUGCUGUUAAAGAGCAAGGCUCAACCUUGUAAAGGCAGUGGAAACUACAGAGCUAGAGUACAUUCGGGGCAGAGGGAAUUCCUGGUGUAGCGGUGAAAUGCGUAGAGAUCAGGAAGAACACCGGUGGCGAAAGCGCUCUGCUAGGCCGUAACUGACACUGAGGGACGAAAGCUAGGGGAGCGAAUGGG